CCCCAGUCCCCCUUUACCACACUGCAGUUGCCCUGGGGCCUUGUCUCUACAAAGCAGAACCCUUGGGGGAAGUUCAGGGUUGAUCAGCAACAAACUGUCUCACAAGCUAUUCCUCAAGGCUGUUGGACUUGGAGGAGCUUCUCCCAUUUCUCAUAAUUUCCUAUCACCUAUCAUCCUAUCCCACCAUUAAAAAUCAGCAUAAGGGUGUGAUAGGUAUACAGCUGGUUGUUACCAUGGUGAUGGCCAGUGUCAUGCAGAAGAUUAUACCUCACUAUUCUCUUGCUCGAUGGCUACUCUGUAAUGGCAGGAGCAAUGAUUCAGUGUUUCGCGGCGACUUUAUAGAACAUAACUACCGCGAAUAACAGGAGUCAACUCUUGAGAUGGUAUCAACACCCUUCCGAAGAAGAAUUAAGAAUCCUUGCAGGGAAGCAGCAGAAAGGAAAAAGUAAAAAAGACAGAAAAUACAAUGGCCAUAUUGAAAAUAAGCCACUAACCAUUCCAAAAGAUAUUGACCUUCAUCUAGAAACCAAGUCCGUUACAGAAGUGGAUACUUUAGCACUGCAUUACUUUCCAGAAUACCAGUGGCUGGUGGACUUCACGGUGGCUGCUACUGUUGUGUAUUUAGUAACUGAAGUCUAUUACAGCUUUAUGAAGCCCACACAGGAAAUGAAUAUCAGCUUAGUCUGGUGCCUCCUGGUUUUGUCUUUUUAGAAGAUGGAGGUGAGAGGUCAGUUUGUGUCACCUUUGGAUUUUU
rnacentral:lncRNA from 1 species